rnacentral:rRNA from 1 species
GACGAACGCUGGCGGCGUGCUUAACACAUGCAAGUCGAACGAAGAGCGACGGAAGCUUGCCUCUAUCAAUCUUAGUGGCGAACGGGUUAGUAACGCGUAAUCAACCUGCCCUCCAGAGGGGGACAACAGUUGGAAACGACUUCUAAUACCGCAUACGAUCUAAUCUCGGCAUCGAGGAUGGAUGAAAGCUGGCCUCUACAUGUAAGCUCUCACUGAAGGAGGGGAUUGCGUCUGAUUAGCUAGUUGGAGGGCUAACGGGCAACAAAGGCGAUGAUCAGUAGCAGGUCAGAGAGGAUGAACGGCAAAAUUGGGACUGAGACACGGCCCAGAACACUACGAGAGGCAGCAGUGGGGAAUCCUUAGGAAUGGAAGAAAGGCUGAAGGAGGAACGACGCGUGAGAGAUGAAGGCAUUAGGGUUGUAAAGCUGUGUUAAUCGGGAGGAAAGGAAAUCUUGUGAAUAGGGGAAAGGAUUGACGGUACCGGAAGAGAAAGCCACGGCUAACUACGUG